AGAGAGAGACAUGCGCGCAUAUCAAUAAGCGGAGGAAAAGAAACUAACUAGGAUUCCCUCAGUAACGGCGAGUGAAGCGGGAAGAGCUCAAAUUUGAAAUCUUAAAGGGUUCUACCUUGACGAAUUGUAGUUUAAAGAAGUGUUUUCUGUUGGAGUUUUGGUAAAAGUUCUUUGGAAUAGGACAUCAUAGAGGGUGAGAAUCCCGUAUUUGACCAUUAUCUUCCAGCUGUGUGAUACACUUUCAAAGAGUCGGAUUGUUUGGGAAUGCAGUCCAAAAUGGGUGGUAAAUUUCAUCUAAAGCUAAAUAUUGGCGAGAGACCGAUAGCGAACAAGUACUGUGAGGGAAAGAUGAAAAGAACUUUGAAAAGAGAGUUAAACAGUACGUGAAAUUGUCAAAAGGGAAGCGUUUGACACCAGUGUUGUUUUCUCGAAAAUCAAUUCAGGAUGGCUGGAUUCUAAGUUUUAUGACCUUUAUCAGCAUACUGUGCUAUUUUUCCUUGUCUUUGUUAAUGCACUUUUCGGUUAACAAGUCAACAUCAAUUUCUUUUGUUGUAAAAGGGUCAGUAGGAAGGUGGCUUUACUUUCGGAGUAAAGUGUUUAUAGCCUUUUAAUCUCUGCAAUCCGGAGAGACUGAGGUCUGCAGCGUAGACUCUUCGGGGUUAGAUACAGUUUGUGCUAAGCUAUAGCUUUGUUAUAGACAACAUUGUUGACUAUGCAUUUAGUCUUGUGGCUUACUCGCUUAUGCUAUUUUACCUACGCUUAGGAUGUUGACAGCAGUAUAGACUGU
rnacentral:rRNA from 1 species